rnacentral:tRNA from 1 species
GUGCUAAGUUGGGCUCAGUGGUAGAGCACUCGUCUGGCACGUGGGAGGCACUGGGUUCGAUCCUCAGCACCACA